GACAGACAGCACACUGGAGGUUAAGUCAUGCACUAAAUAGGGAGCAAGGGAGCAUCCUAUAGCUCUCCUAUAACUGUUCUGAGACCAGUGCAGACAGACAGCACACUGGAGGUUAAGUCAUGCACUAAAUAGGGAGCAAGGGAGCAUCCUAUAGCUCUCCUAUAACUGUUCUGAGACCAGUGCAGACAGACAGCACACUGGAGGUUAAGUCAUGCACUAAAUAGGGAGCAAGGGAGCAUCCUAUAGCUCUCCUAUAACUGUUCUGAGACCAGUGCAGACAGACAGCACACUGGAGGUUAAGUCAUGCACUAAAUAGGGAGCAAGGGAGCAUCCUAUAGCUCUCCUA